GCUGUGUUGGUGUAGUGGUCAGCAUAUCUGCCUAGUAAGCAAAGAAGACCCGGGUUCGAGUCCCGACCACAGCA